rnacentral:rRNA from 1 species
ACCCACCAAGGCGACGAUCGGUAGCCGGACUGAGAGGUUGAACGGCCACAUUGGGACUGAGACACGGCCCAGACUCCUACGGGAGGCAGCAGUGGGGAAUAUUGCACGAUGGGGGAAACCCUGAUGCAGCGACGCCGCGUGGAGGAAGAAGGUCUUCGGAUUGUAAACUCCUGUUGUUGAGGAAGAUAAUGACGGUACUCAACAAGGAAGUGACGGCUAACUACGUGCCAGCAGCCGCGGUAAAACGUAGGUCACAAGCGUCGUCCGGAAUUACUGGGUGUAAAGGGAGCGCAGGCGGGCGAUCAAGUUGGAAGUGAAAUCCAUGGGCUCAACCCAUGAACUGCUUUCAAAACUGAUUGUCUUGAGUAGUGCAGAGGUAGGCGGAAUUCCCGGUGUAGCGGUGGAAUGCGUAGAUAUCGGGAGGAACACCAGUGGCGAAGGCGGCCUACUGGGCACCAACUGACGCUGAGGCUCGAAAGUGUGGGUAGCAAACAGGAUUAGAUACCCUUGUAGUCCACACCGUAAACGAUGAUUACUAGGUGUUGGAGGAUUGACCCCUUCAGUGCCGCAGUUAACACAAUAAGUAAUCCACCUGGGGAGUACGACCGCAAGGUUGAAACUCAAAGGAAUUGACGGGGGCCCGCACAAGCAGUGGAGUAUGUGGUUUAAUUCGACGCAACGCGAAGAACCUUACCAAGUCUUGACAUCCUGCGACGAUGCUAGAAAUAGUAUUUUCCUUCGGGAUGCAGAGACAGGUGGUGCAUGGUUGUCGUCAGCUCGUGUCGUGAGAUGUUGGGUUAAGUCCCGCAACGAGCGCAACCCUUAUGGUCAGUUACUACGCAAGAGGACUCUGGCCAGACUGCCGUUGACAAAACGGAGGAAGGUGGGGAUGACGUCAAAUCAUCAUGCCCUUUAUGACUUGGGCUACACACGUACUACAAUGGCGUUAAACAAAGAGAAGCAAGACCGCGAGGUGGAGCGAAACUCAGAAACAACGUCCCAGUUCGGACUGCAGGCUGCAACUCGCCUGCACGAAGUCGGAAUUGCUAGUAAUCGUGGAUCAGCAUCCCACGGUGAAUACGUUCCCGGGCCUUGUACACACCGCCCGUCACACCAUGAGAGCCGGGGGGACCCGAAGUCGGUAGUCUAACCGCAAGGAGGACGCCGCCGAAGGUAAAACUGGUGAUUGGGGUGAAGUCGUAACAAGGUAGCCGUAGGAGAACCUGCGGCUG